UACGGGGGGGGCAAGCGUUGUUCGGAAUUACUGGGCGUAAAGGGCUCGUAGGCGGCCAACUAAGUCAGACGUGAAAUCCCUCGGCUUAACCGGGGAACUGCGUCUGAUACUGGAUGGCUUGAGUGUGGGAGAGGAAUGCGGAAUUCCAGGUGUAGCGGUGAAAUGCGUAGAUAUCUGGAGGAAUACCGGUGGCGAAGGCGGCAUCCUGGACCGGCAUUGACGCUGAUGAGCGAAAGCUAGGGGAGCAAACGGG
rnacentral:rRNA from 1 species